CACGCCGGAAUUUACAAUAUGGCGGUCAAAAAGUGAAAGAUCAAACUAAGCACUGUCAAAAUUGAAAACGAUGCAGGAACGGACGGGAAACAGACCUGUUUGGACUUACUAAGUUCUUGUGUAAUAAUGGGCGCCAUUCUCAAACGAUGGAGGGUAUGGUUUCAUGUUGUUUUGGUUUCGUGACUGUACAUAUGUUUAAAAAUUGGCGAGUGACGAGCCUAUACCAAAUUUUUAAUUAUUUAUUCCGCAUUUUCUCAUAGCGUGAAGAAUCUGCUGAAAAAGUGUUGGAAUCUUUAGAAGAGGUAACAUGUCAAAGCUUGAUUUAAAAUACAUAGCUAUCAAAAUACGUAUAAUUGAUGUACCUUUAAUGUCUC